rnacentral:rRNA from 1 species
GUCGUAACAAGGUUUCCGUAGGUGAACCUGCGGAAGGAUCAUUAGUUGUAUUCCAAACCUACUCAACCAAGCCAAUCUGUUGCAGGGCGAGAGCCUCGCAGCUAACAACCUAACCAAAAGCAAGCUAACUAAGCUUCAACCUAAAACCAAAUCCUCAACGAUGGAUAUCUAGGUUCCUACUACGAUGAAGAACGCAGCGAAGUGCGAUAAGCAAUGCGAAUUGCAGAGCCGAGAGUCAUCAGAUUUUUGAACGUAACUGACACCGGAGAGCUCUCUCUUCGGUAUGCUUCUUUCAGUGUGUGAUGCUCUCAUCACCCAAACCUUAAUGCGAUAGAUGCCCUUCUAUUGCUAAGCUUGAAAGCACUCUGUACCCUGCAGCGGAGGUCCGCAAGGACUGACGCACUCAAUGCAGUAGUCACAUUCUCAAAUGUGAACUCAUUGAGCGUAGAGUCAGUGCAUGUUUACAUGCCAGUGCUUAGACACACAAAUUUUCUCAGCAUCUGAAAUGAAGUAGGACCACCCGCUGAACUUAAGCAUAUCAUUAAGCGGAGGAAAAGAAACUAACAAGGAUUCCCCUAGUACGGGCGACGGAAGCGGGAAAAGCCCACGCUGGUAAUCUGCGGGCGUUAGCUCGCCGAAUUGUAAUCUGAAGACGGUUGGUCUAAUUGGAUCGGGCGCCGAAGUGUGCACGAGCGCGCCGCCAAAGAGGGUGAGAGCCCCGUAAGGUGCCAGAUCCUACCAAGGCCGGUUGUCGAAGAGUCGUGUACUUUGAUACUAGUGCACCAAGCGGGAGAUAAACUUCUUCUAAGGCUAAAUAUAAGUAGGAAACCGAUAGCGAACAAGUACUGUGAAGGAAAGAUGAAAAGCACUUUGGAAAGAAAGUUAAAAGACUUGAAAUCGUUGAGGCGGACCCGGUAGAAAUGUAUUCUAGCGAAGCUCCCUGGGAAGCCUGUACGCGGGCCACUUGGGAGCUAGCCGAGGCAAGAUGGAGUCGCACGAUGCUAAAGGCCGCGCAGGAGGACCUCCGGGUAAGCCUGUGCUGGUCGAGUGUCGAGCGGCUUGAGGGGCUUUGAGCGAUCUUGCCAAAAUGGUUUUUACCGACUCGUCUUGAAACACGAACCAAGGAGUCUAAGACUAACGCGAGUAUGGUGGUGGAGAAACCAACAUGCGAAAUGAAAGUAAAUGAUGCCAGGAACCCUGCAGCAUCGACCGACUUCUUUCUUCUGGUGGAGGUUUGAGUAAGAGCGUUAUUCUUAGGACCCGAAAGAUGGUGAACUAUGCGUGA